rnacentral:rRNA from 1 species
UCCGUAGGUGAACCUGCGGAAGGAUCAUUACAGAGUUCAUGCCCUCACGGGUAGAUCUCCCACCCUUGAAUAUUUAUACCUUAGUUGCUUUGGCAGGCCGUGGAAACACCAUGGGCUCCGGCUUAUGCGUGCCUGCCAGAGGAAACAAACUCUGUUUUUAGUGAUGUCUGAGUACUAUAUAAUAGUUAAAACUUUCAACAACGGAUCUCUUGGUUCUGGCAUCGAUGAAGAACGCAGCGAAAUGCGAUAAGUAGUGUGAAUUGCAGAAUUCAGUGAAUCAUCGAAUCUUUGAACGCACAUUGCGCCCCGUGGUAUUCCGCGGGGCAUGCCUGUUCGAGCGUCAUUUCAACCCAUCAAGCUUCGGCUUGGACUUGGGGCCUGCGGUUUCGCAGCCUCUAAACCCAGUGGCGGUGCUAUUGAGCUCUGAGCGUAGUAAUUUUUCUCGCUAUAGGGUCUCGGUAGUUACUUGCCAGUAACCCCCAAUUUUUAUCAGGUUGACCUCGGAUCAGGUAGGGAUACCCGCUGAACUUAAGCAUAUCAAUAAGCGGAGGA